GAUGAAGAACGCAGCGAAAUGCGAUAAGUAAUGUGAAUUGCAGAAUUCAGUGAAUCAUCGAAUCUUUGAACGCACAUUGCGCCCGUCAGUAUUCUGGCGGGCAUGCCUGUUCGAGCGUCAUUACGCCCCUCAAGUCCCCUGUGGACUUGGUGUUGGGGAUCGGCGAGGCUGGUUUUCCAGCACAGCCGUCCCUUAAAUUAAUUGGCGGUCUCGCCGUGGCCCUCCUCUGCGCAGUAGUAAAACACUCGCAACAGGAGCCCGGCGCGGUCCACUGCCGUAAAACCCCCCAACUUUUUAUAGUUGACCUCGAAUCAGGUAGGACUACCCGCUGAACUUAAGCAUAUCAUAAGCGGAGGA
rnacentral:misc_RNA from 1 species